CGGGCGGGGGCACGGGGGGCCCUACGGGGUGCAGCAGGCGCGAAACCUCUGCAAUAGGCGAAAGCUUGACAGGGUUACUCUGAGUGAUUUCCGUUAAGGAGAUCUUUUGGCACCUCUAAAAAUGGUGCAGAAUAAGGGGUGGGCAAGUCUGGUGUCAGCCGCCGCGGUAAUACCAGCACCCCGAGUGGUCGGGACGUUUAUUGGGCCUAAAGCAUCCGUAGCCGGUUCUACAAGUCUUCCGUUAAAUCCACCUGCUUAACAGAUGGGCUGCGGAAGAUACUAUAGAGCUAGGAGGCGGGAGAGGCAAGCGGUACUCGAUGGGUAGGGGUAAAAUCCGUUGAUCCAUUGAAGACCACCAGUGGCGAAGGCGGCUUGCCAGAACGCGCUCGACGGUGAGGGAUGAAAGCUGGGGGAGCAAACCGGAUUAGAUACCCGGGUAGUCCCAGCUGUAAACGAUGCAGACUCGGUGAUGAGUUGGCUUAUUGCUAACUCAGUGCCGCAGGGAAGCCGUUAAG
rnacentral:rRNA from 1 species